UGCAUUGUGAGAGAUAACAUGGAAUAAUACAUCAAUAAUCGGUUAGGUGUUAAGUGGUUUAUUUAGUGCUCUUUCUACCGGGUGUGAUGUCACUGGUAUCUUGGAGGUCUCCCCCAGAUUCCAGCGCCAUCUUGUUAAUGAGGGUGUUAGUUGAUGUCAAAAAGGGAAACUCCCUAGCGGCCAUUUUAGGUCAAUCACAUAGAAAGUUGAAUAAUGCUGAUUGUAGUUAUAUUGAGUAAAUAGACAUUUUACC
rnacentral:lncRNA from 1 species